UACAGGGGGUGCAAACGUUGCUCGGAAUUAUUGGGCGUAAAGCGCGCGUAGGCAGCUACUUAAGUCGGAUGUGAAAGCCCUUGGCUCAACUGAGGAAGUGCACCCGAAACUGAGUGGCUUGAGUACUAAAGAGGGUCGCGGAAUUCCCGGUGUAGAGGUGAAAUUCGUAGAUAUCGGGAGGAACACCGGUGGCGAAGGCGGCGACCUGGGUAGAUACUGACGCUGAGGCGCGAAAGCGUGGGGAGCAAACAGG
rnacentral:rRNA from 1 species